rnacentral:misc_RNA from 1 species
CUGAAUUAAUGAUGAGGUUGUCGCUGGCCCGUUGGGCAUGUGCACGCCUUGUUCAUCCAAAUUCUUAAACCUCUGUGCACCUUUCAUGGGACAAUAGCGUUUAUGCUCUGCUUGAUAAAGGCGAGUGUAGUGCAGUUGUUCUGUGCCUUUUAUACAUACGCUUCAGUUUAGAAUGUUUUUAUUGCGCAUGACGCAUCUAUAUA